GGCGGGAGGCCCACCUGCCUGGACAUCAUCACGGAUGCUUUGCACAUGUUCCAAACUGGUAGCGAAGGUUUUUCAGUCAUUCAUUCUCUUGAAUAAAGGCACAAAUUCUCUUCAGAUCUCUCCAGUGAAUGUGUGGAAGUUAGAGAAAGGUUGCUGUGGAACUUUGUGCCAUUUCAUUCUCUUCCACAACUUCACAACGACAAAAGAAGUAGAGUUUUGUAGGAAAACUUCCUAAUCUUGCAUGUGUGCACUGAAGUGAAAAGGACUAUUUAUUGAACACAUUCAUUAUAGCUGAACAAUAGAGGAGAAGAAACUCAGAGAUCCCACAUGGAAGGAGUUAUAUCCAGAGAUGUGUGAGAUUACAAUUUGUCUCCAUGAGUCAAUUUGCAUCAAAGAAGCACCACAAUAUACCCACUGAGGCACUGAAGCAAUUUUUUCUGUCCACUACUGGAACUGGUUGAAGAGUCCUCAGAGGCAAGGCAAAGGGAUGCAUUGACCUUUGUUUUAAGGUCAGAUCCAAAACCCAUCUAAGAAACAAGAGGGGACAGAAGAAAAAGAGUGAAGGAAGUAUGAGGAAAGAAAAAGAAAA